CGCGUGACAUGAAUUGACGUGACGACGAAAAUGGUGGACAAGGUGUUUUUUAGAAAUAAAAAAACCAACCAUAUUUUGUUUAUGAUUAUUAUAGGCCUAAGUGUAUAUUCGUACGUAUCAACAAAACUACUAAGGUAGGCCUACUUGCUUCAGCGUUCUUUUGGCCAUUUUCACUUAAUUUUCUGGACCACCACCUGUGUAGUAUGUCUUUUCCAAGAAAUGUAAAAAGAACCGCGUGAACUCAGAAUGGGGGAUGUGGCCGAUAGGAUGUAUUCUAGAAUGUACUCCGUAAUUUGCUGUAUUAUAGUGUAUUUCAGUGAUGUAUAUAUCAACAAAACUACUGAGGUUAAUAAAUACGGUGCACCACCUCAUCGGCCGGUAAAGAAUAAUGAAUAUCUCGGCCUUUACUAAAGUACAAAAGCAUCGCCUUAUAUAAAAACACACCGCGUGAUUCUUAUGGCAACUGAGAGACAAGCUUUGAUGUUCC